CAGGUAGCGGCCCCGCUCGCUGCCGUUGCCGGCCGCGGAUAGCGGGCCGCGGAUAGCCGGCCGAGCGGCGCGCUGAGCCUCGCGGCGGAGCUGUGGAGACGACGCGGGGUAACGGCGGAGGCUGCUCCUCUGAAGAAGUUGAAUUGGACAGCAAGUGCUUACAGUGGGGAGCACUUUAAUCUCAAUGAUGAAGAAAAGCCGAAGUGUCAUGACAGUGACUGCAGAUGAGAAUGCUCUGGAUUACCUGGAGUGUGGGCUGAGCAAGUCCUACAGUACUUCCAGCCAUGCUCUGGGCAUAGACCUCUGGAGAGGAAGAAGGUGCUGUUCUGGCAAUCUGCAGUUACCACCGUUAUCCCAAAGACAAACAGAAAAAGCAAGGACACCUGACAGAGACAUCGUCUGUAGACCAACGACUCUGCCCUUGCUGGCACCUCCAAGUAUUGCAAUCACCACUUACCAAGACUGGUAGGUUAUUUUCCUUUGCUACAAACCUUGUGCUGUUGUUUAUUUGGGGACCGUUGUUGCUUUCUGGUGUUUUGUUGUUUGUUCUUUUGUUUGCUAUGGUGGUAUUGCUUUUGUGCUUUUUUUCUGAAAGGCACUGAGUAAUUUAUUAAUUUAUUAGAAUUGUUGAUGUGUAUCAGUUGGUGUAUUGUGGAGUGACCUUUACAGAAUAAUUGUCCUUUUGGACACUCUGCUUAUGUUGCAGACUUCUUUUGUUCGCUUUUGUGCAGCUCCAAGAAACUUCUGUGUUGUAACUUCUGAUUCUGGUGAAGGGAUUUGUGUUAUUGGCUUUUCACCCCUAGAAGAGUUCAGGAUGGUGUUGAACUCUUCUGUGACAGAUCAGGCCUUGGCUUCCUGGCUGUUUUCUGUCCAAGUGUUAACAAGAGGCUUUCUUUGUUAGGAAGAGGCAUUUAAGUCUGAUGUUAAGCUCAAGAAGAGUCCCAAAGAAGCAAUGGGAGAGCUGAUAAAAGGGGGGAAGGGAAUGCAGUGAGUUGAGUUCCAAAACAGAAACUGAACUUUAAGUGUAAAAGCAAGGGAAUUCAUCUAGAGGGAGGGAGAGGAAGACAAGCUGCAAGUGGUCAUGCACUGGAACUGCAGUGGUAGAAUUUGAUGGCAAUAUAAAGUGAGAUGUCCAGCUUGCCAUACGAUUCUCAAAGUGGCAUUGCAGUGUGACUGCGAAUCUUGUCCUUCACGUUUCAAUAGCACUUUGGGUUCAAGUUUUUAUAUGAUCUCAAUUUUGUUUGCUGGCUGCAAGGUGUAUUCACUUCAUUAUUUCAUAGUGUGAAUCUGGUUUUAGCUUCUGUUAAGCUCAGCACUCAGUCUUUUAGGCCAGCAUUGCAAUUUGCAUUUGAAAAAUGGUAGAGGACAUCCUGAAUUAAUUUGUUAUGGUACUUUAAAAACGAUGCACUUGAUGUAGAUGAGAUACAGAAAUCAAAGAGGAAUUAGCAGGGGCUUUUGUUCAAUAUUUGCAUUUAAUUACUGUGAAUAAAGUUAAUAAAAUGAGUUUGUAAUUUCAGAUGGGUAGCGU
rnacentral:lncRNA from 1 species